rnacentral:misc_RNA from 1 species
AGGCUUUCGCACACGAUCAGCGUCGGGCGGCCCGGAUGGGCGCGCAGCAACUCUUCGAGAUGUGCAACGUCGUUGUGGCGGAACACGAUGUAUUCGGUGCCCGACUGGCGGAUGCCCUCGAUCAUCGAAUUAUGGUUCAACGCGUCCGACAGGAUCAGGCAGUUCGGAAUCAGCUUCGCCAGAGUCGCGAUGCCGGUCUGGUUCGAGACAUAGCCCGAGGUGAAAACCAGCGCCGCUUCCUUGCCGUGCAGAUCCGCGAGCUCUUG